ACGGAAGGCAGCAGUGGGGAAUAUUGCACAAUGGGGGAAACCCUGAUGCAGCGAUGCCGCGUGGAGGAAGAAGGUUUUCGGAUUGUAAACUCCUUUUAUCAGGGACGAUAAUGACGGUACCUGAAGAAAAAGCUCCGGCUAACUACGUGCCAGCAGCCGCGGUAAUACGUAGGGAGCGAGCGUUGUCCGGAAUUACUGGGUGUAAAGGGAGCGCAGGCGGGACGGCAAGUCAGAUGUGAAAUGUAGGGGCUCAACCCCUGAACUGCAUUUGAAACUGUUGUUCUUGAGUGAAGUAGAGGUAAGCGGAAUUCCUAGUGUAGCGGUGAAAUGCGUAGAUAUUAGGAGGAACAUCGGUGGCGAAGGCGGCUUACUGGGCUUUUACUGACGCUGAGGCUCGAAAGCGUGGGGAGCAAACAGGAUUAGAUACCCUGGUA
rnacentral:rRNA from 1 species